rfam:Triticum aestivum genome assembly, contig: Triticum_aestivum_CS42_TGACv1_scaffold_035020_1BL
AUUGUACUCCCUCCGUCUAGAAAUACUUGUCGGAGAAAUAGAUAUAUCUAGACGUAUUUUAAUUCUACAUACAUUCAUUUUUAUUCAUUUUUUCAAAAAGUAUUUCCGGACGGAGGGAGUAACAC